rnacentral:rRNA from 1 species
GCCGAACCACAGUCCAUUCAGGUCUCGUGGAAUGUGGCGUUUGGGAGAGUCUUCUCGUGGUGUGGACGGCCAGUCAAAGUCCAACUUGACAGUGGCCAUGGCCCAUAGAGGGUGAUAGGCCCGUAAGGCGGCUGUCCUGCUGCGCUGACUUUUCCCUAGAGUCGGGUUGCUUGGGAGUGCAGCCCAAAGUGCGAGGUAAACUCCUCGUAAGGCUAAAUAUGACCCCGAGACCGAUAGCAAACAAGUACCGUGAGGGAAGAUUGAAAAGAACUUUGAAGAGAGAGUUCAAGAGUACGUGAAACUGUGUGGUGGUAAACGGAGGGGUUCUCGAAGUUUCCAAGGGGGACUCAACCUUGGUGGUUGUGGGUUCUUGGCAUUUGUGAUCAGAUUAAAUGACAUGGUGCUUUGUCCCCGCGGCCUCCCGGACGCACUUUCCCCUUGGUUGACGGCAGGAACUGUUAGGAGUGGACCAAAGGCCUGAGGUGAAGUUGUUGGUUAUGCUGGCAGCCCUCAGUGUCCUGGCUUCGCACCUGACAGGUACUUGAGUAAACUUGUAUAGCGAGCGGCCUUUGUUGCUGCGGUUUGCAUUUCUCUGCCGAGUAGGUCGGUGGCCCCUCCGACCCGUCUUGAAACACGGACC